UCCUGGGCACGGGCCGGGAGGAAUAGUUCCCUUCAAGAAUGGUUCCCUUCGAAUGAUGCUAAAAAUCAUGGUGGCUAUAAGUAAGAGCGGUAGAUAGGAGGAGAGCAUAAGCAUGUUAGUCACAUAUAUUUCCAAGAUGAAGGCCUUUCUCAUUGCAUGCUUUCUCUUAGCUACAGUCGUCUUCUCUCCCUUAUCCACUUGCAGUGCUCGAGAAUUGGCCGAGCGAGCUAUAAACAGCCCAGGUCUUGACCCCGGCAAAGUUCCAUUCAAUUGCGGUACGGGUAAGCGAUACUGCGUACCUAGCCAACCACCAACAUCAACACCAUGUCUUCCUUACAGGCGUGAUUGUGGGCGGCGCCUUUAAGCUUAGAAGCAAGCAAAGUUGAGUACUGCUUAAAACUAUGGAGAGCUUCGGCUGUCUUUAUCAAUAUGUAAAACGAUGAGAACUACUUUUGUGAGAAAAAUAAAUAAAGUUCUCCAGUGGAUUAGAAGAAGCAAGCAAGGUUGUGUGCUUAAAAAGUAUGGACGGCUCAUAGUGUCUUUAUCAAUAUGUAAAAUGUUGUUUUGAUAUGGAAACUAUUUAUGUGAGAAAAAUAAAUAGAUCUUCUUAGUGAGUUUCAUGGUAUCUUUUGAGGUUUUAAUUUCGGUCAUUAUACACUCCUCUUAUUUGUACGUAAUCUCCCAUGAGAAUUAUUAUAUGAAGUUCCAUUAUG